CGCGUAGGUGGUUUGGUAAGCGAGAUGUGAAAGCCCCGGGCUUAACCUGGGAACGGCAUUUCGAACUGCCAGGCUAGAGUGUGGUAGAGGGUAGUGGAAUUUCCUGUGUAGCGGUGAAAUGCGUAGAUAUAGGAAGGAACACCAGUGGCGAAGGCGGCUACCUGGACCAACACUGACACUGAGGUGCGAAAGCGUGGGGAGCAAACA
rnacentral:rRNA from 1 species